ACGCUCGACACCUACGGGAGGCUGCAGUGGGGAAUAUUGCACAAUGGGGGAAACCCUGAUGCAGCGACGCCGCGUGAAGGAAGAAGUAUCUCGGUAUGUAAACUUCUAUCAGCAGGGAAGAAAAUGACGGUACCUGACUAAGAAGCCCCGGCUAACUACGUGUCAGCAGCCGCGGUAAUCUGAGCGGGCUGGCAAGGC
rnacentral:rRNA from 1 species